rnacentral:rRNA from 1 species
AUUGAACGCUGGCGGCAGGCCUAACACAUGCAAGUCGAACGAGCGGCGGACGGGUGAGUAAUGUCUGGGAAACUGCCUGAUGGAGGGGGAUAACUACUGGAAACGGUAGCUAAUACCGCAUACCAUCGGAUGUGCCCAGAUGGGAUUAGCUAGGAGGUGGGGUAACGGCUAACCUAGGAGACGAUCCCUAGCUGGUCUGAGAGGAUUACCAGCAACACUGGAACUGCGAAACGGUCCAGCCUCCGCCGGGAGGCAGCAGUGGGGAAUAUUGCACAAUGGGCGCAAUCCUGAUGCAGCCAUGCCGCGUGUAUGAAGAGGGCCUUCGGGUUGUAAAGUACUUGCAGCGGGGAGGCGUUACCGGCAGAAGAAGCACCGGCUAACUCCGUGCCAGCAGCCGCGGUAAUAC